rnacentral:lncRNA from 1 species
AUUGAACAAUAUUGCUAAGGGUUUCUGGAAUCAAGCGGUGUAUAACAUCCGAGAGAUAAAGUCAUGCUCACCGGAGGACGUUGUACAUGAAACAUAAUACUAAAUAUAACAAAAAAUAAAAAUAUCUAUUACAAGAAAAUCGUUGUUUACGUUGGGUUAUAUAGGGCGGAAACUAACAUGAUAGCAACAGAUGCAUCCGUUGAUUUAUAUGUUAAUGACCAC